UUUCCUUGACAUUUUUUAAAAGCGUCAAUAUUAACCUAAGUGGCAACAUACCUUGGCGCUUUUUAAAGGCUUGAUUAACAAUGACGCUUUGUGGGGAAGCAAUGACACUCCUAUUCAAUGGCACCUUUUACAAACGUCAUUGAUUGCAAAAUGUUGGAGACCUUGGUGCUUUAUUCAAGCGUCAAUAAAUAAUUUCUUCCUUGUCGCAUUUUUAAAGCGCCAUGUUCUAAAACAUUAUAUAUGCAUGUGUGAAAUUUCUUCCAAACACACAAUUCCCUCUAAAAUUUCAUUCUCACACCCGCCGUAUCACCUAAAAAUCUAUAAAUUCUCAUACCCUCAUUUAUCUUCUAUCUAUGGACUAUCACCCUAAAAAGCUAUUAACUAUCUCAAAAACCCUAGCCUUUACUCUCAGCCAUCUUCAAUUUCCCUAACCCCCCAAGAGCCCAUAACUUUAUCCUCCUCAUCAUCAAUAACCUCACAUCCCAAACCCUAAGCCUCUCAUUUCUUUGUUCUCACCAUAGCCGUUGAGAGCUACUAAUGCCGAAAUAGAAAAGCUUGAAGUCCACCACUAGCCAACUAGUUAUCAAUGGCAUUAAACAUUUUCUAAUCUUGAAACAGAGAUGCUCUAUGGAGAUUUUUCAAUGGCAAGUUUGAGAUUCUGUUCUUCAUGACGUGGAUUUCCCUAGUGCAGUCUUUCAGAAAAAAUGAGUUUAUUAGCAUAGACAUUGUCCCCAUGGGUAAGAGUAUCCUUCUGUUUCAAUCUUAUUUUUGUUGGUUUAUCACCAUGAGCCUUGCUUGUGGCAAAGACAUUGGUUGAUGUGGAGAAGUGAAGAGUUUUUAUCAUUCUGAUCGUCCUAAGGUUGAUUUCUGCUAAAUUUAUUUUUAUCUUAUUUUUUUAAUUAUUGAGUCUAUGCAUAAACCAGAGAUUUCCAUUUCAUUAUUUACUAGAAUGAAAUUCACUGGGUGCCCAAAAGCAAAAUGAAAUUCACAUAUCUUUUCAACAUUUUGUAACCAACAACAAAUUGCUGUUGUUUUAAAGGGAAUAUCCCCGUGAUUAAUGCGGAUCAUGACCAAAUUUUAAUGCAGGAUUUAGAUUUAUUUUCUAUGACUAUCUCCCUCCUAAAUUUGUGUUUCUUAAACAACUAAACUUAUAACAAUCGGACACCCUUUAGCCUGUUUGGAGAUUUAACAUUUUUGGUCCCUUCUCAUGAAUUUUUCAGUUUUCUCGAUUAAUAGAAUGUGGGAACUUGGUUUGAUGAUUCAAAAACAGAAGUUGAGUUGGGAGGAUGAUGCUCCAAAAGUUGAUAAGUUGAUAACCGUAUUCAUUAAGAUUCAAAUUUUGAUUGGAAACAGUACGGAAUACAGAGACACUCAAAAGAGAAACUACAGAUCCGCUACAAUUUAUUCAUAUGUGGUCUGCGUCUGGACAAAAAAAACUUGGGACGCAGGCUGCCAAAUCCUCAAGUGAAAAACUUGGGACGCAGACUGCCAAAUCCUCAAGUGAAGAAAGGAUGCCCCCAGAAACUGGGGUCCUCAUAAUGACCGUAAGGACCAAGAUGCAUCGUAUCUUGGCCUCUGGGUACCCCACAAUGACCAGACUGUCCGGAGGCUUGGGAGCUACAUCCAUUAGCAUUUGAUUCUCAAGUGACUCAAGAACCACCUCUAGAGGUGUCUUUUGGGCCACGGGAACUGCAGCUGGAGCAGCAGCACCGCCUGGUUGGGGUGCCUGAUGAUGGAAGUACUCCAUCUUGUGGCCCACUGCCUUCAACCGAUCAUCAAUGAACCACAUCAAAUCGCUAGAAUCUUUGAUGCUCAUAUCCUGCAACCCCUUCUCCCCAGCCUGGCACUGGUACAUGAGGGAACAUUGGCUGAUAUAUUUCUAAGGGGCACCAUUUUAAUGACAAAUACUUGAGGGAUGACAUCUUUGAUGCCCUCAUUUCAGUCUAGUAAGAGUUGUAGAUCACAGUUUGACGAUUCUCAUAUGUUCUCAUCUCAUGAUAAGUAAAAGAUUUCAAGUUCAGGAGUGGAUAUGCAACCAACAGAAAUACUUUUGGCUAGAAAUACUUAUGGCUUCUUCUUCUUCUUCUUGUAAUAUUAUUUUUGAUAAGGAAUUUAGAGACCUUGUUUUUUGGUACAUGUGUACUUGUUUUAUGUUGAAGUUGGAAAAUAUGCUUGUAAAUAUUUUAAUACAUUUACAAAUUUGCAUAUUAAUUAACUAUAUAGACAUUAGUUCUUUAUCAUGAUAUUAUUCCCAAAUUUAUUCAA